GAAAUUGUAGUUUACAUUUAAAAUAUAUGUCUGCAAAACAUAGGAUAAUGAGGAGUUUGUAAAAUUA